UAUAAUGUUGCUUACUUUGAG
rnacentral:piRNA from 1 species